UAGGGAAUCUUCCGCAAUGGGCGAAAGCCUGACGGAGCAACGCCGCGUGAGUGAUGAAGGUCUUCGGAUCGUAAAACUCUGUUAUUAAGGAAGAACAAAUGUGUAAGUAACUAUGCACGUCUUGACGGUACCUAAUCAGAAAGCCACGGCUAACUACGUGCCAGCAGCCGCGGUAAUACGUAGGUGGCAAGCGUUAUCCGGAAUUAUUGGGCGUAAAGCGCGCGUAGGCGGUUUUUUAAGUCUGAUGUGAAAGCCCACGGCUCAACCGUGGAGGGUCAUUGGAAACUGGAAAACUUGAGUGCAGAAGAGGAAAGUGGAAUUCCAUGUGUAGCGGUGAAAUGCGCAGAGAUAUGGAGGAACACCAGUGGCGAAGGCGACUUUCUGGUCUGUAACUGACGCUGAUGUGCGAAAGCGGGGGGAUCAAACAGG
rnacentral:rRNA from 1 species